GAUGAACGCUGGCGGCGUGCCUAAUACAUGCAAGUCGAGCGAACAGACGAGGAGCUUGCUCCUCUGACGUUAGCGGCGGACGGGUGAGUAACACGUGGAUAACCUACCUAUAAGACUGGGAUAACUUCGGGAAACCGGAGCUAAUACCGUAUAAUAUAUUGAACCGCAUGGUUCAAUAGUGAAAGACGGUUUUGCUGUCACUUCUAGAUGGAUCCGCGCCGCAUUAGCUAGUUGGUAAGGUAACGGCUUACCAAGGCAACGAUGCGUAGCCGACCUGAGAGAGUGAUCGGCCACACUGGAACGGAGACACGGUCCAGACUCCUACGGGAGGCAGCAGCAGGGAAUCUUCCGCAAUGGGCGAAAGCUUGACGGAGCAACGCCGAGUGAGUGAUGAAGGUCUUCGGAUCGUAAAAAUCUGUUAUUAGGGAAGAACAAAUGUGUAAGUAACUAUGCACGUCUUGACGGUACCUAAUCAGAAAGCCACGGCUAACUACGUG
rnacentral:rRNA from 1 species